rnacentral:lncRNA from 1 species
ACCAUCACCAUAGUCACCACCACCUCCAUCACCAUCACCACCACCACCAUUACCACCCUCACAACCACCCCCAGCACCCUUCUAUCACCACCACCAUCACCACCAUUAUCACCACCACCACCACCUCCAUCACCAUCACCACCACCACCAUUGCCACCAUUACACCCACCAUUGUCCUCAACAGUGUCAUCACCACCACCGUUAACAUCAACACCAUCACCUCUACCAUUACCACCACCAAUCCCACCACCCUUCUCACCUCCACUGUCACCCUCCUUAACACCACCACCACCACCAUCCCCAUCACCAUGACCACCAUCACAAUCACCUCCAUCACCUCCACCACCACCAUCACCAUCACCGCCACCACCUUUCUUACCAUCACCACCACCACCAGCAUCCCCAUCACCAUAACCCACCAUCACUGACACCACCACCAUUGCCACCCUUACCACCACUGCCAUCACCAUAAUCACCACCAUCACCACCCUCACCACCAUCACCAUGCUGACCACCAUCACCACCACCCCCAUUACCCUUCUCACUACUACCACCAUCAUCACCACCACAUCAUCAUCUCCAUCACCAGCACCACCAUCAUCACCACCACCAUCUCCAUCACCAUUACCACCACCAUCACCAUCAUCACCACCAUCACCAUCAUCACCACCACCACCAUUCCCACUGCCAUACCACCAUCACCAUCACACCUACCACUGUCCUCAUCAAUGUCAUCACCACCACCAUUAACAUCAACACCAUCAACAUCUCCAUCACCACCACCAGCCCCAGCACCCUCCUCACCUCCACUACCACCCUCCUUACCACCAUCACCACCAUCACCAUUAUCACCAACCACCACCAUCAUCACCACUACCACCACUCUCACCACCAUCACCAUCACCACCACCAUUAUCACUAUCACCACCAGCAGGCAUUGCCAAUGUGUGUCCAGCCAUCAAAGAACAUCAGCCUAGUGGAAAGGUAGAUGAGAAACAGAGGGAAGGAUCCAGAGCCCACUGUGAUGUAAACCGUCUCGAUCCCCCCCCAAGUAUGUGUCUAGUAGGGAAUGCCAAGAGCAUGAGUGCACAACAGUGAUAGGUGUGGGAAGACAGAGUCUUCACAUGUCUUGAAGGUUGGCGGUUCACCCUCAAAAGCUACUGAACCCAGGAGUACCGUGCAGGUAGGACUGUGCUUCUCUCAUCUCAAAUGCCAACUCCCUGCCUGGCACGGAAUCGAGGCUCG